AAAAUCCGUUGGCUUUUUAGACCGUGAGGGUUCAAGUCCCUCUACCCCC
rnacentral:tRNA from 3 species